rnacentral:tRNA from 1 species
GUCUUCUUGGUGUAAUGGUCAGCACACUCGACGCGUAUUCCAGAGGUCUGUGGUUCGAAUCCCGGCGAGGACA